CCUACGGGAGGCAGCAGUGAGGAAUAUUGGUCAAUGGCCGCAGGGCUGAACCAGCCAAGUCGCGUGAGGGAUGACGGUCCUAUGGAUUGUAAACCUCUUUUGUCAGGGAGCAAAGGGCGCCACGUGUGGCGCUUUGCGAGUACCUGAAGAAAAAGCAUCGGCUAACUCCGUGCCAGCAGCCGCGGUAAUACGGGGGAUGCGAGCGUUAUCCGGUUUUAUUGGGUGUACAGGGUGCGCAGGCGGAAUGUCAAGUCAGCGGUAAAAUUUCGGGGCUCAACCCCGUCGUGCCGUUGAAACUGGCGUUCUUGAGUGAGCGAGAAGUAUGCGGAAUGCGUGGUGUAGCGGUGAAAUGCAUAGAUAUCACGCAGAACUCCGAUUGCGAAGGCAGCAUACCGGCGCUCAACUGACGCUCAUGCACGAAAGCGUGGGUAUCGAACAGGAUUAGAUACCCGAGUAGUC
rnacentral:rRNA from 1 species